rnacentral:rRNA from 1 species
GACAGAGGGUGCAAACGUUGUUCGGAAUUACUGGGCGUAAAGCGAGUGUAGGCGGUUAGGUAAGUCGGAUGUGAAAGCCCCGGGCUCAACCCGGGAAGUGCACUCGAUACUGCCAAGCUAGAGUACUGGAGAGGUUGGUGGAAUUCUCGGUGUAGAGGUGAAAUUCGUAGAUAUCGAGAGGAACACCGGUGGCGAAGGCGGCCAACUGGACAGAUACUGACGCUGAGAACUCGAAAGCGUGGGGAGCAAACAGG